rnacentral:rRNA from 1 species
UACGGAGGGUGCAAGCGUUAUCCGGAUUCACUGGGUUUAAAGGGUGCGUAGGUGGGUUGGUAAGUCAGUCGGUGAAAUCUCCAGGCUUAACUUGGAAACUGCCAUUGAUACUAUCAAUCUUGAAUACCGUGGAGGUCAGCGGAAUAUGUCAUGUAGCGGUGAAAUGCUUAGAUAUGACAUAGAACACCAAUUGCGAAGGCAGCUGGCUACACGAAUAUUGACACUGAUGCACGAAAGCGUGGGAUCAA